rnacentral:rRNA from 1 species
UGGGGAAUAUUGCACAAUGGGCGCAAGCCUGAUGCAGCCAUGCCGCGUGUGUGAAGAAGGCCUUCGGGUUGUAAAGCACUUUCAGCGAGGAGGAAGGGUUCAGUGUUAAUAGCACUGUUCAUUGACGUUACUCGCAGAAGAAGCACCGGCUAACUCCGUGCCAGCAGCCGCGGUAAUACGGAGGGUGCAAGCGUUAAUCGGAAUUACUGGGCGUAAAGCGCACGCAGGCGGUUUGUUAAGUCAGAUGUGAAAUCCCCGCGCUUAACGUGGGAACUGCAUUUGAAACUGCAAGC